AAACAUUUCCGCAGCCCAAAUCCAACCCGUUGAACGACUUAAUCCAGUAAUCUGAAUAGUUGUACAUUUGUGAACCUUCUGUCUGAUGAAUUUCAACAAAUCUAAAUACAGAUCUCAAUUGGCUGAAAUCUAAAAUAUGUUUUAACAAUUGCCACAAUCAAACUGAAACUAAAAUUUGAUGUUUUUGGGUAAAAAAUAGCUCAAGGAUUAUUGUUUUCCCUUUUUGUUUUUGUAACACUUUAAAUUUUUUUUUAAAUUUUUGUUCGAGGUCCGAGAACUUUGUCCAACCCUGCUCUAUUUCAUAUUUUCAGCUUUGGUGAGAAAUAAAUUACUGAUUUUUGAAUAAUAUCUAUUUUGUUUUAAAAUUCAAUAGAAUUAUAUUGGGUAAUCAUAUAUAUUAAUAUGAUUUAUUUUCAGUAUGUAUGCUAUGUAAUCUUACCCAACCAACCUUAAUUAAGUGUUAUUAUAUUUUAAAGUGAAUUGGAAAGUAGACCUCUAGCAAAAAAGAUUCGGGCGAUUGGGGGGAAGCCCAUCUCUGUACAAUGACUGCCAAAUGUGCAUGCAACUGUGCAAUGCCCAGCGACUCUAAAAGCAUGAAGUAUUGUACGACACAUCCUUUACAAAUAUUUGGACAUAUUUUGUGCCCUAUGACAAUGGACUGGAAAAUUCACCUGCUUCAAUUCCCUCUUUCACGCAAUCAUACACUGUGUCAUUUCAAGCAUCUCAAUGUUUCAAUGCGGACAAUGCCCAAAACAGAGAUCAAGCCAUGCUCCAAUCCAGUACAUGGAAAAAUUGUUGGGACAGGCGAUAGAAACUCUUAUGCUACAAGCUACGGCAUCUGCAACUUUCCACUGAUUAUAGUGUGGACUCGGACUUAAAGGAAUUGAUGAAAUUCAUUGUCAAUUCAUUGUCUGAUUACAUUUUGAUCCAGAAAACAUUCAAGGAUGAAAAAAUCGCUUAUAAGAUAUUUGUCAAGUCUUGGAGGUUGCUCCGAGAAAGACUGGAUUGGAGAAUCAUGAGCUCAGUUAUAACAAAUUUACUCUCCCGCUCUUUCAACUGUGCAGGACGCGGUGGAUAAGGAGUGAGUGGGACGCCCUUAGUUUCUGCUAUUAAAGCUCUGGAUGAUCUGGCAACGAACUCCGAUUAAUUUUAUUACAUGUAUACAUAUUUGUAAAAUAAAGACAUUUUGUUAUC